rnacentral:tRNA from 3 species
GGGUAUGUAGCGUAAUGGUUAACGCGUUGGUUUUCGGCACCAAAGAUUGCAGGUUCGAGUCCUGUCAUACUCG